rnacentral:rRNA from 1 species
UACGAAGGGGGCGAGCGUUGUUCGGAAUUACUGGGCGUAAAGGGCGCGUAGGCGGAUGUUUAAGUCGGGGGUGAAAGCCCGGGGCUCAACCUCGGAAUUGCCUUCGAUACUGGACAUCUUGAGUACGGGAGAGGUGAGUGGAACUCCGAGUGUAGAGGUGAAAUUCGUAGAUAUUCGGAAGAACACCAGUGGCGAAGGCGACUCACUGGCCCGUUACUGACGCUGAGGCGCGAAAGCGUGGGGAGCAAACAGG